rnacentral:misc_RNA from 1 species
AGAGAGAGAGAGAGAGUUACAAAUGAGAGAGAAAUCAAGAACAACAUCGUUAGAAGAUAAAAAUUAAGGUAUGAGGGGUAAAAUUUACUCAAAAACAAGGUUUGAAACACUAAUGAAUUAUUAGCGAAUAAUAGCAAAACAAUGUCAAAUUUCAUUUCAACCAUGCUUAAUUUUUGAAUGUCCAACUAGGUUUAUAUCAAGAAAGUCAGAUGGUCAUAACAAGUUGAAACCAUUUGAAUAAUUAUGUUAAACCAUUAAGUAGUAAUUAUUAAAUGCCAUAAAAAUAGUUUAUCCUCAACCCAUAUCCCCAUGUCAAUAGUUACACACAAACCUUACUACAAUGGCCUAUUAAACAAACACCAUAGUGAAAGCAUAUCUCUUGAACCCACCCAUCUAUAUGGAAAACAAAUUCAUUGCACCAACACAAAAACCCCAGACAACCAAAACUCAAACAUAAAGCUUGCUACCAUGCAACAAUUAACACCUUUAGCAGCCAAAAGAAUAAAAGUAUUUUCUCUCGCAGAAUCUAACAUCUAUAAUCCAACAAUUUGAUCUAUAUUGUUGCAGAGCAUACUAAUAUCAAGAAUUAACUUAACAAAGGAUACAAAUAAA